rnacentral:rRNA from 1 species
GACAGAGGAGCCAAGCGUUGUCCGGAUUUACUGGGCGUAAAGCGUGUGCAGGCGGGGUGACAAGUGGUGUAUGAAAUAUCCCGCUUAACCGGGAAGGGUUAUGCCAGACUGUCAUUCUAGAGUGCGAGAGAGGGGCGUGGAAUUCCGGGUGUAGCGGUGAAAUGCGCAGAUAUCAGGAGGAACACCGGUGGCGAAGGCGGGUCUCUGGGCCGUAACUGACGCUGAGGAGCGAAAGCGUGGGGAGCGAACAGGA